rnacentral:lncRNA from 1 species
ACCAUGGAACCCAGUGACUAGUGUUCAGCUCUAUUAGGACGAACCCAGGCACUUAGCCAUGCAGGAACAAUGGCAAGCCUUUAGCCCGAUCGGGAGUGGCAAUGGGCGCCUCGAUGGAUCAGGAGCACAGCGGACACCCUGCCAGAUCUGGAGGGAUGGAAGUCAGCGGUGGGUCUGCGAAAGCGCAAACAGGAGUGGUGGACAGCAAGUGAAAGCUCACCUCGAGCCGUAAGGAACACGGAACAAAAGAGAGUGCAGUUGCAAGAUUUAAUAGAGUGAAGACAGAGCUCCCAUACAAAAAGAGAGGACCCAAAGAGGUCAUCAGUUAGAUGAAUAUGUAUUUGAAAGCUGUUCAUUCAUUGUGGAGAUGUGGGUAGACAGCAGUAAAUAUGCCCCAUGGCACUGAUUAACUCAAAGUGGCUCCAGGCCAAAGAUUUUAUGCUUCAGUGGAGAUAUUUUUGCCAGGAACCAUGUUUACCAGAGAUGUUUCCCAAGAUGGACAACAGACUGACCAUGUUGAUUCAGAACUAAGUACUAAUAAAAAGGAGUUUAAUAAGAAGUCUAAUAGAAAUCAAAUUGUAUUUAUCAACUUUAAUUCUAUUUUAAUGCACGAGUCCUAACAGCCAAACGACUAAUAUGCUGACAUUUCUUAAUUCAUUUUUUCUGACUGUGCUCCCAAAAGGGAAGAAGUCUACCUAAGAGACUUGGGUGUUUUCAAGAGAUAACGCCAUUACAGUUUAAGCCCCUUAAUUUGUCUGGGCUUUUGCUGUUGCAACUGGAAGAGGCAAAGAAUAAUGAUUAUUAAAAAGUAGUGUCUGUAAAGUGGAGAUUUUAAUACCCACCUCUAGCAUGAGAAUCCUGGAAUCUUAAUUCUGGUUCUCAAGGACACGGGAAUGAUAGAAUUGGAAUAUUCCAUAAUUACUCAUUUGCUUUACCCCACAUUGCAAAUGCCACUGUCACAGAAGAACAAUACUAAUACUACCACCACCAAUUAUAGUCACAGAAACAGGUCUCUGAAGGACUGCCAGCCAUUUCAGAGGAAAGCCA